AUUGAACGCUGGCGGCAUGCUUACACAUGCAAGUCGAACGGCAGCACGGGAGCAAUCCUGGUGGCGAGUGGCGAACGGGUGAGUAAUGUAUCGGAACGUACCUUUCAGUGGGGGAUAACGUAGCGGAAGUUACGCUAAUACCGCAUAUUCUGUGAGCAGGAAGGCAGGGGAUCGCAAGACCUUGCGCUGAUUGAGCGGCCGAUAUCAGAUUAGCUAGUUGGUGAGGUAAAGGCUCACCAAGGCGACGAUCUGUAGCGGGUCUGAGAGGAUGAUCCGCCACACUGGAACUGAGACACGGUCCAGACUCCUACGGGAGGCAGCAGUGGGGAAUUUUGGACAAUGGGGGCAACCCUGAUCCAGCCAUGCCGCGUGAGUGAAGAAGGCCUUCGGGUUGUAAAGCUCUUUCAGCCGGGAAGAAAUCACAUGGGUUAAUACCCUGUGUGGAUGACGGUACCGGAAUAAGAAGCACCGGCUAACUACGUGCCAGCAGCCGCGGUAAUACGUAGGGUGCGAGCGUUAAUCGGAAUUACUGGGCGUAAAGCGUGCGCAGGCGGUUUGUUAAGAUAGGCGUGAAAUCCCCGGGCUCAACCUGGGAACUGCGUUUAUGACUGGCAGGCUAGAGUAUGGCAGAGGGGGGUGGAAUUCCACGUGUAGCAGUGAAAUGCGUAGAGAUGUGGAGGAACACCGGUGGCGAAGGCAGCCCCCUGGGCCAAUACUGACGCUCAUGCACGAAAGCGUGGGUAGCAAACAGGAUUAGAUACCCUGGUAGUCCACGCCCUAAACGAUGUCAACUAGGUGUUGGGUGGGUAAAACCAUUUAGUACCGGAGCUAACGCGUGAAGUGACC
rnacentral:rRNA from 1 species